rnacentral:tRNA from 1 species
UCCUCCGUGGCGCAAUUGGCUAGCGCGUCUGACUGUUAUGGGUAUUCGAUCGAUGCCCGAGCAAUCAGGAGGUUGACAGUUCAAGCCUGUCCGGGGGAG